GUGCCAGCAGCCGCGGUAAUACGUAGGGCGCAAGCGUUGUCCGGAAUUAUUGGGCGUAAAGAGCUCGUAGGCGGUUUGUCGCGUCUGCUGUGAAAACGCAAGGCUUAACCUUGCGCCUGCAGUGGGUACGGGCAGACUAGAGUGCGGUAGGGGAGACUGGAAUUCCUGGUGUAGCGGUGGAAUGCGCAGAUAUCAGGAGGAACACCGAUGGCGAAGGCAGGUCUCUGGGCCGUUACUGACGCUGAGGAGCGAAAGCAUGGGGAGCGAA
rnacentral:rRNA from 1 species